rnacentral:rRNA from 1 species
GUAUUCCGCUCCAUAGCGUAUAUUAAAGUUGUUGCAGUUAAAAAGCUCGUAGUUGAAUUUCGGAAUCUGUCCAUUGGUCGGGCUUCACUGUCCGUACUGGUGUGGUGGGUUCUUACCUUCUGAAUAACCAGCAUGCCAUUCACUUGGUGCGUUGGGGAAGCAGGACUAUUACCUUGAAAAAAUUAGAGUGCUCAAAGCAGGCUAGUGCCUGAAUACAUUAGCAUGGAAUAAUAAAAUAGGACGGCAUGGUUCUAUUUUGUUGGUUUCUAGGAUCACCGUAAUGAUUAAUAGGGAUAGUUGGGGGCAUUAGUAUUCAAUUGUCAGAGGUGAAAUUCUUGGAUUUAUUGAAGACUAACUUCUGCGAAAGCAUUUGCCAAGGAUGUUUUCAUUAAUCAAGAACGAAAGUUAGGGGAUCGAAGACGAUCAGAUACCGUCGUAGUCUUAACCAUAAACUAUGCCGACUAGGGAUCGGACGAUGUUAAUUUUUUAAUGACUCGUUCGGCACCUUACGGGAAACA